rnacentral:rRNA from 1 species
GGAUUAGAUACCCUGGUAGUCCACGCCGUAAACGUUGGGCGCUAGGUGUGGGGAACCUUCCACGUUCUCCGUGCCGUAGCUAACGCAUUAAGCGCCCCGCCUGGGGAGUACGGCCGCAAGGCUAAAACUCAAAGGAAUUGACGGGGGCCCGCACAAGCGGCGGAGCAUGCGGCUUAAUUCGAUGCAACGCGAAGAACCUUACCUAGGCUUGACAUAUACCGAAAACUCAUAGAGAUAUGGGGUCCGCAAGGGCGGUAUACAGGUGGUGCAUGGUUGUCGUCAGCUCGUGCCG